CUCUUCCAAUCAGGUAAGACUUUCUUUUUUCUUUAAUGUCUCCGUCGCUAGUUUAUGUGCUAGGCUGUUCGCUUCUCUGGGAAUGUACUCAAAAUAGCAUUUUCCAGAUUUUUCCAGUAGCUGAUGUAUAUCUUGGAUAUAUGCUCCGAUCAUAGAUUUAUCAUAACUUUUUAGUUUGCACUUCUUUAUAAUUGAUAAUGCAUCCCCUUCAAUAAUAAUGUUUGGCCAUUGCAUGUCCCUGCCUAUUUGAGUUGUUGAUGAUGAAUCUUUGUACAUGAUAAAAAAGUAUUUCCUUCGCUAUCCCUGGCCACAAUUCCCGCUGCCGAUUGCCGUAGGUUCCCAUCAUAGGCUGCAUCAAAGUUGACCUUUACAAACUGAUCCGAUCUAUUAGUCUUUUCAUGCACUCUCUUAUUCCUUUCUCCCCAUAUUGCCCAAAGAGCACAGCAAAAGAUCCGUCAUUGAUUGGGGGAGUUCUUUUCAAAAACCCAGGACAUUCGUGAAAUAUAUGAUUUGUGGAUUCUGCUGCUCUGCCACACCCAACGCAUGUCACGUUGUUUGAAAGCCUUCUAUAGUUCAAGUUGACCCGAGUUGGAAUAUAGUUCCAUGAUAUUUUCCAGACUAUAAUUUUUAACUUAGGAGGUAGAUUUAGGAGCCAUAGAUUCCUAUAAAAAUUCCUAGAUUCAUUUUGUAAAGGGUUGUAAAAAUUCCUAAAUACAUUUUGAUGUAGGGACGCUUUAUUGAUGGAAAAUAAACUAAUAUUGAGGAGUUUUAAUGCUGAAAAAGAAUAUCUAAAAGAAAAUAAUUAAACAAAUUAGAAAAUGACUCAAACAAAGAAA